rnacentral:lncRNA from 1 species
GAUGUCUAAUUGAUGUGCUGGCUCUAAUCUUGAUCAGAGGCUUCUUCUCCCUUGAUGGAACAAUGAAUUAGGGUUGAGAGGCUCUCUCCUCCAGGGGCUAGGGGGUCUGGUUUUAUAGUCCCUCCAAGUGAAUAUGGGCCAUUGGAUCAAACCGACAUAGAUUAUAUGGUUUAGAUUCAUCCUUUAGGUCGGUGGAGAUCUCCCGCAAAGCAGAGUCCUGAUUGG